rnacentral:rRNA from 1 species
CCUACGGGGGGCAGCAGUGAGGAAUAUUGGUCAAUGGGCGCGAGCCUGAACCAGCCAAGUCGCGUGAGGGAGGACGGCCCUACGGGUUGUAAACCUCUUUUGCCGGGGAGCAACGGGCGCCACGUGUGGCGUCACUGAGAGUACCCGGCGAAAAAGCAUCGGCUAACUCCGUGCCAGCAGCCGCGGUAAUACGGAGGAUGCGAGCGUUAUACGGAUUUAUUGGGUUUGAAGGGUGCGUAGGCGGAUCGUUAAGUCAGUGGUCAAUUUGAGGGGCACACCCCCUUCCCGCCAUUGAAACUGGCGUACUUGAGUGGAAGAGAAGUAUGCGGAAGGCGUGGUGUAGCGGUGAAAUGCAUAGAUAUCACGCAGAACCCCGAUUGCGAAGGCAGCAUGCCGGCUUCCGACUGACGCUGAAGCACGAAAGCGUGGGGAUCGAACAGGAUUAGAUACCCGAGUAGUC